rnacentral:rRNA from 1 species
CUCUCGGCAACGGAUAUCUCGGCUCACGCAUCGAUGAAAAACGUAGCAAAAUGCGAUACUUGGUGUGAAUUGCAAAAUCCCGUGAACCAUCGAGUUUUUGAACGCAAGUUGCGCCCGAAGCCAUUCGGCUGAGGCACGUCUGCCUGGGCGUCAGCAUCGCGUC